rnacentral:rRNA from 1 species
GAUGAACGCUGGCGGCGUGCUUAACACAUGCAAGUCGAACGAAGCACUUUAUUUGAUUUCCUUCGGGACUGAUUAUUUUGUGACUGAGUGGCGGACGGGUGAGUAACGCGUGGGUAACCUGCCUUGUACAGGGGGAUAACAGUUGGAAACGGCUGCUAAUACCGCAUAAGCGCACAGCAUCGCAUGAUGCAGUGUGAAAAACUCCGGUGGUAUAAGAUGGACCCGCGUUGGAUUAGCUAGUUGGUGAGGUAACGGCCCACCAAGGCGACGAUCCAUAGCCGACCUGAGAGGGUGACCGGCCACAUUGGGACUGAGACACGGCCCAAACUCCUACGGGAGGCAGCAGUGGGGAAUAUUGCACAAUGGGCGAAAGCUUGAUGCAGCGACGCCGCGUGAGCGAAGAAGUAUUUCGGUAUGUAAAGCUCUAUCAGCAGGGAAGAUAAUGACGGUACCUGACUAAGAAGCACCGGCUAAAUACGUGCCAGCAGCCGCGGUAAUACGUAUGGUGCAAGCGUUAUCCGGAUUUACUGGGUGUAAAGGGAGCGCAGGCGGUGCGGCAAGUCUGAUGUGAAAGCCCGGGGCUCAACCCCGGUACUGCAUUGGAAACUGUCGUACUAGAGUGUCGGAGGGGUAAGCGGAAUUCCUAGUGUAGCGGUGAAAUGCGUAGAUAUUAGGAGGAACACCAGUGGCGAAGGCGGCUUACUGGACGAUAGCUGACGCUGAGGCUCGAAAGCGUGGGGAGCAAACAGGAUUAGAUACCCUGGUAGUCCACGCCGUAAAC